UCUGUGCACGUAAUUGAGGUUCUCGUCCAAUAGAAGGGGACUGGAAGGUUCCACUUGCCCCUGUUUUAGCUUUGGUUUGGGUACGUGGCGGCGUAAAGAGGGAAACCGAAACCACCACUACUCUCCGUAAGAGGAGUUCCUAGCCCAGAGUGGGAGAAGGAUGUACAAUUAUAAGGCGGAGGACAUUUCAUCUAAUUCUGCUCUCAACCUGGGAAGGUGCCUGGAUUGAUGAAACAUAAAACUCAAUUUUAGUCUUAAAUGAAAAAAAAAAAAAAAUAGGAAAUUGCACUGUUAGUUGUUAGGAAUACAGGAGAAAUGCAGUAAAAUC